rnacentral:lncRNA from 1 species
GAAUGCGCGGAGUCAUGAUGAAGCUUGCUGUGAUUUUCAUUUUAUUACAUUCCUGCUUCUGCACAAUGACAAAUUCAACCUUGGGAAAAUUUGAUGUUUGCGAAGGAGACUACACUGUGAUUACGGCAGGAAAAGCCGCAAAAUUGGGAUCGAAGAUUUUGCAGCACUGCAUGACUUACACGGUUAUGCGAUAUGGCCUACCACCCAAUUUGUGCCAACGGGGCCUAAAGGCGAUAUGUACCUACAUACGCUUCUGCUUCAAAAAGUACGCGGAAAUGAGAGCAAAG